AGCUGGAAAGGUGAUAGUUUGCAGAACAAAGCCAGUGGUCCUGCUUGGUCGGGGAACUUGAGGUGUGGGUCGGCUUGAGUUAAGACAACAUCAAAGAGUUUUACCAGCU